rnacentral:rRNA from 1 species
AUGUAUGAUACACUGGUUCAUAACGAGGUUCUGAUUGAUAACAGGAAAUUAUGGAAGCUCAAAAUCCCUCUAAAAGUGAAGAUAUUUCUCUGGUUUCUGAAUAGAGGAGUGAUCUUAACUAAGAAUAAUUUGGCACGACACAACUGGCAAUGGAUGAAAAAAUGUGUCUUCUUCUAUGACGAGUCUAUUGAACACUUAUUUUUUAGUGCGAGUUUGCUCGGUCUGUGUGGGCCAUUGUUCAAAUAG